rnacentral:rRNA from 1 species
CUCGUAGGUGGCUUUGUAAGUCGGAGGUGAAAGACCACGGCUCAACCGUGGAAACGCCUUCGAAACUGUGAAGCUUGAGGCUGGGAGAGGAAAUCGGAAUUCCUGGUGUAGCGGUGAAAUGCGUAGAUAUCAGGAGGAACACCGGUGGCGAAGGCGGAUUUCUGGACCAGUUCUGACACUGAUGAGCGAAAGCCAGGGGAAGCAAACA